GCUCUGUUGUUAGGGAAGAACAAGUGCGAGAGUAACUGCUCGCACCAUGACGGUACCUAACCAGAAAGCCACGGCUAACUACGUGCCAGCAGCCGCGGUAAUACGUAGGUGGCAAGCGUUGUCCGGAAUUAUUGGGCGUAAAGGGCUCGCAGGCGGUUUCUUAAGUCUGAUGUGAAAGCCCCCGGCUCAACCGGGGAGGGUCAUUGGAAACUGGGAAACUUGAGUGCAGAAGAGGAGAGUGGAAUUCCACGUGUAGCGGUGAAAUGCGUAGAGAUGUGGAGGAACACCAGUGGCGAAGGCGACUCUCUGGUCUGUAACUGACGCUGAGGAGCGAAAGCGUGGGGAGCGAACAGGAUUAGAUACCCUGGUAGUCCACGCCGUAAACGAUGAGUGCUAAGUGUUAGGGGGUUUCCGCCCCUUAGUGCUGCAGCUAACGCAUUA
rnacentral:rRNA from 1 species